rnacentral:rRNA from 1 species
CAGCCGCCGCGGUAAUACCGGCGGCCCGAGUGGCGGUCACUCUUAUUGGGCUUAAAGCGUCCGUAGCCGGGUUGGGAAGUCCUCCGGGAAAUCUGGCCGCUUAACGGUCAGAAUGCCGGAGGAUACUCCCAGCCUAGGGAGCGGGAGAGGCCGAGGGUAUUCCCGGGGUAGGGGUGGAAUCCUAUAAUCCCGGGAGGACCACCUGUGGCGAAGGCGCUCGGCUGGAACGCGUCCGACGGUGAGGGACGAAGGCCAGGGGAGCAAACCGGAUUAGAUACCCGGGUAGUCCUGGCGGUAAACGAUGCGGACUUUGUGUCGGACAAGCUAUGAGCUUGUCCGGUGCCGGAGGGAAACCGUUAAGUCCGCCGCCUGGGGAGUACGGCCGCAAGGCUGAAACUUAAAGGAAUUGGCGGG